rnacentral:rRNA from 1 species
CUUGGUCAUUUAGAGGAAGUAAAAGUCGUAACAAGGUUUUGCUUACAGAAGCCUUUGCAGCCCGAAAGGGUGGCCCCGCGACUCUAAAGAAAGGCUAGGCCUUGCAAGUCGAUGUAUUUCGGCGACACAACUAAACUAUCGGGAAAUGCCCCCCGCCCUCUAGGGGUCGGUGGGAAAAUCCGUAGCACCGCGUAGCAGUAUUUGGUGUUCACAGACUAAAGAGUUGUGGGUCCUAGUUCACAAGAUUAGGGCUUAAAAUAUAGUCGGGCUCAGCCAGCAAUGGCUGGGAGCACUGUUCCGUAGGUAUGCAAGUUUUGCCUGCUACAGCAGCCGCCCUACCCGGCGCUGCUAGUCUCCCCAGGGAGGCGACAUGCUUAAUGUGCGGAGAGCCCCUCUCACGGGAGGGCAAUCCGCAGUUACCUCGGGGUAAUUCAGAGACUCAAUGAGCAUGGGUUCAGCGUUGUCUGAGCUUAAGAUAGAGCCCGUCCCUGCCGGCAAUGGCGGGGGGUGAACGGAACCUGCGGAAGGAUCAUUAUAGAGUACACGGGCUCCGGCCCACUAUCUCUCACCCUCUGUUUACCACAGUUUAGUUGCCUUGGCGCCUAGCGCCAGUGGAUCGAAACCCUAGAAUCAUUGCUGUCUGAGUACUAUAUAAUAGUUAAAACUUUCAACAACGGAUCUCUUGGUUCUGGCAUCGAUGAAGAACGCAGCGAAAUGCGAUAAGUAAUGUGAAUUGCAGAAUUCAGUGAAUCAUCGAAUCUUCGAACGCACAUUGCACCCCCUGGUAUUCCGGGGGGUAUGCCUGUUCGAGCGUCAUUACAACCCUCAAGCUCCGGCUUGGUGUUGGGCUCGCCCUGUAGGGCUUGCCUCAAAAUCAGUGGCGGCCACAGCCCGACCUUCAGCGCAGUAAUGCUCGUCGCUGUAAGGGGAGGCUUCUGGCGCCAUCACAACCCCCACCACACAAGGUUGACCUCGGAUCAGGUAGGGAUACCCGCUGAACUUAAGCAUAUCAAUAAGCGGAGGA